rnacentral:tRNA from 1 species
GUGGGCACAGCUCAGUGGUAGAGCGCAUGCUUAGCAUGCACGAGUCCCUGGGUUCAAUCCUCAGUACCUCUA